CGGAGGAGGAGGAGGCCUCGCCAGAACCUGACUGUGCUGGCACACUGAUCUCGGACUUCCAGCCUCCAGAACUGAUGAGACAUAAGAAGAUAUUCAAAUACCAAAGUAACUGUGGAAAUAGGAGGAACAAAGAAGAAUUCUUGAAAGUCUCUGGGUAAAGAUAAAAGGAAAACAGAAUAAAGAAGAUCUCACAGCAGGGGCUUGUGACAGAUCUCCAAAUCAGGAAGUCAGGAAAGAUGAAGUGGAACGAAGCCAAUCUCCACGUCCAGGGAGAUGGUCCAUAGAUUUCAACUACCCAGUUAACUUUCAGAUAACUCACUCAGGAGAACAGAACUGGAAAUGUAUAAAACGAUAUUUCUGGCAGGAUCCUCAUGAGGAAAUUCAAGACAGGAUGCUGCAGGCAUACUGAGCCAAUUGGAAGGGCAUUUUGGGCCUUGGCCACUACCUAUUUGUAUCUUGCUAUGGAGAAUCUCAUAUAUGAGUCUGCUACCAAGUCAGUGACAUAUAAAGUGCACUUAAUUUCAGAAAGAAAGAUUUUUCUGUGUGCCAUAAAUCUUGUGAUAAUAUUUGUCAUUAGCUCAAGCACUGAUCUGUAGUUCAAAGGAAAUUUACACUUCAACUCAGUAAGACAGAUUUUUAUCUUCUUAAAUCUUGGUACCAGAGGCCUAAAGAAAAAUAGUCAAGCAAACAAAGUAAGGUUGAAUUACCUUGUUUAUUCAGCUCUGUGACAUCCUCAUGAGAACUCAACAGUGACAAUGGGCCUGAGGGGUCAGCGAUUGUUUGUAGUGGGCACUUCUUGUGGUACCUCCACAAUGCAGGGUUCCCAUUCUCUGAGGAGCUGCCAACAUGCACAGAUAUGUCCUCUUCUUGUCCCUGCCCUGACAGCCAUCUCAAUAUUAGGAAAGAGUCCCCUGGACCAUGGCUUAUUGGUCUGUCAUCUGACCUAAGGUGAGCUGAUCAGUUUGUCUCUCUCGUGAGUUAGAAAUGUUGCCAGAAGAGCAACAGUGUUAUUGGAAGUUGUUAGUAGCUGAGACACAUUGCAGUGCUCUGGGAGGAAGGCCCAGAAUCUCCUGCAGAAGAAAUAUAUGGAAUUGCCCUAGCCCUUUCUGAUCCUUGGUUUAAUUCUUUCUUCAAUUCUAUAAGAUAGUCCAGUAUUCUUGCAAUAAAUUCCCUGUU